AGAUGUACAGCAACAGAUUGCAUUUGGUUUCGACCCAAAAGGAGCCUUAAAAAGGCUACAUCUU
rnacentral:tRNA from 1 species